CCCCGGGUGUGAUGCUUUUGUUGAGUUUAUAUCCUUAUUGAGCUUGAACGGAAGGUUGACAAAGAACUCUGGGUUUUUCCACAAAGGGUGGUGAUGAUGAAAAUGUGGAUGAGAAUCAGCACAGCAUCUUAGGAGGAGCACUUUGUGAUCUUGGAACUCUGCUGAGGCGUCAGCUAAGGAGUAUAACCUUGGGACAGAAGUGAAUGGCUGAAAACUCCUUUUAUAUUUUAAUCCUGUUGGUAGAAUCUUCAAAUGCUUCGCUUGCUGAUAUAAAUCAAAUCCUAUCAGCAAAUCCUUGUCAGGAAGAUCUGAC
rnacentral:misc_RNA from 1 species